rnacentral:rRNA from 1 species
ACGCUCGACACCUACGGGAUGCAGCAGUCGGGAAUAUUGCGCAAUGGAGGAAACUCUGACGCAGUGACGCCGCGUAUGGGAAGAAGGUUUUCGGAUUGUAAACCAUUUUAGACAAGGAAGAAACAAGACAGUACUUGUAGAAUAAGCUCCGGCUAACUACGUGCCAGCAGCCGCGGUAAUCUGAGCGGGCUGGCAAGGC